rnacentral:rRNA from 1 species
UACGGAGGGUGCAAGCGUUAUCCGGAUUCACUGGGUUUAAAGGGUGCGUAGGUGGGCAGGUAAGUCAGUGGUGAAAUCUCCGGGCUUAACCCGGAAACUGCCAUUGAUACUAUCAGUCUUGAAUACCGUGGAGGUAAGCGGAAUAUGUCAUGUAGCGGUGAAAUGCUUAGAUAUGACAUAGAACACCAAUUGCGAAGGCAGCUCACUACCCGAAUAUUGACACUGAGGCACGAAAGCGUGGGGAUCAAACAGG